GUGCCUAACACAUGCAAGUCGAACGAGAAAGUAGCAAUACGAGUAAAGUGGCGAACGGGUGAGUAACACGUAGGUAAUCUACCUUAAAGUGGGGAACAACGUUUCGAAAGAGACGUUAAUUCCGCAUGUGGAUCCAAAACGAUGGUUUUGUAUCUAAAGGGGGGUCGCAAGGCCUCUCGCUUUUUGAUGAGCCUGCGUCCCAUUAGCUAGUUGGUAGGGUAAUGGCCUACCAAGGCGACGAUGGGUAGCUGGUCUGAGAGGACGGCCAGCCACACUGGAACUGACACACGGUCCAGACUCCUACGGGAGGCAGCAGUGGGGAAUAUUGCGCAAUGGAGGAAACUCUGACGCAGCGACGCCGCGUGGGUGAUGAAGGCCUUCGGGUUGUAAAGCCCUGUCGGCUGGGAAAAAGGCAAACGUGCUAAUACCACGUUUGCUUGAUGGUACCAGCAAAGGAAGCACCGGCUAACUCUGUGCCAGCAGCCGCGGUAAUACGUAGGGUGCAAGCGUUGUCCGGAUUUACUGGGUUUAAAGGGUGCGUAGGCGGUU
rnacentral:rRNA from 1 species